GAUGAACGCUGGCGGCGUGCCUAAUACAUGCAAGUCGAGCGAAUGGAUUAAGAGCUUGCCCUUAUGAAGUUAGCGGCGGACGGGUGAGUAACACGUGGGUAACCUGCCCAUAAGACUGGGAUAACUCCGGGAAACCGGGGCUAAUACCGGAUAACAUUUUGAACCGCAUGGUUCGAAAUUGAAAGGCGGCUUCGGCUGUCACUUAUGGAUGGACCCGCGUCGCAUUAGCUAGUUGGUGAGGUAACGGCUCACCAAGGCAACGAUGCGUAGCCGACCUGAGAGGGUGAUCGGCCACACUGGGAUUGAGACACGGCCCAGACUCCUACGGGAGGCAGCAGUAGGGAAUCUUCCGCAAUGGACGAAAGUCUGACGGAGCAACGCCGCGUGAGUGAUGAAGGCUUUCGGGUCGUAAAACUCUGUUGUUAGGGAAGAACAGGUGCUAGUUGAAUAAGCUGGCACCUUGACGGUACCUAACCAGAAAGCCACGGCUAACUACGUGCCAGCCGCCGCAGUAA
rnacentral:rRNA from 1 species